AGCUUGAGCUCAGUCGGUAGAGCAUCAUACUUCUAAUCUGAGGGUCCAGGGUUCAAGUCCCUGUUUGGCUG
rnacentral:tRNA from 1 species